CCUACGGGAGGCAGCAGUGGGGAAUAUUGGGCAAUGGGCGAAAGCCUGACCCAGCAACGCCGCGUGAAGGAAGAAGGCUCUCGGGUUGUAAACCUCUUUUGACAGGGAAGAGCAGAAGACGGUACCUGUCGAAUAAGCCACGGCUAACUACGUGCCAGCAGCCGCGGUAAUACGUAGGGGGCGAGUGUUACCGGGUUUCAUUGGGGGAAAGGGGCGCGUAGGGGGCCUGUUAGGUGGGGGGUAAAGUACCGGGGCGCACCCCCGGACCGCCCCCGAUACCGGCAGGCUUGAGUCUGGUAGGGGAAGGCGGAAUUCCCGGUGUAGCGGUGGAAUGCGCAGAUAUUGGGAAGAACACCGGCGGCGAAGGCGGCCUUCUGGGCCGCGACUGACGCUGAGGCGCGAAAGCGAGGGGAGCGAACAGGAUUAGAUACCCGUGUAGUC
rnacentral:rRNA from 1 species